GCCGGAGUGGUGAAAUUGGUAGACGCACUGGACUCAAAAUCCAGCGCCCGCAAGGGCAUGCCGGUUCGACCCCGGCCUCCGGCACCA
rnacentral:tRNA from 4 species